GAUGAACGCUGGCGGCGUGCCUAAUACAUGCAAGUCGAGCGAAUGGAUUAAGAGCUUGCUCUUAUGAAGUUAGCGGCGGACGGGUGAGUAACACGUGGGUAUCCUGCCCAUAAGACUGGGAUAACUCCGGGAAACCGGGGCUAAUACCGGAUAAUAUUUUGAACUGCAUGGUUCAAAAUUGAAAGGCGGCUUCGGCUGUCACUUAUGGAUGGACCCGGGUCGCAUUAGCUAGUUGGUGAGGUAACGGCUCACAAAGGCAACGAUGCGUAGCCGACGUGAGAGGGUGACCGGCCCCACUGGGAGUGAGCCACGGCCCAGACUCCUACGGGAGGCAGCAGUAGGGAAUCUUCCGCAAUAGACGAAAGUCUGACGGAGCAACGCCGCGUGAGUGAUGAAGGCUUUCGGGUCGUAAAACUCUGUUGUUAGGGAAGAACAAGUGCUAGUUGAAUAAGCUGGCACCUUGACGGUACCUAACCAGAAAGCCACGGCUAACUACGUGCCAGCCGCCGCCGUAA
rnacentral:rRNA from 1 species